rnacentral:rRNA from 24 species
UUAUACGACUCUCGGCAACGGAUAUCUUGGCUCUCGCAUCGAUGAAGAACGUAGCGAAAUGCGAUACUUGGUGUGAAUUGCAGAAUCCCGCGAACCAUCGAGUCUUUGAACGCAAGUUGCGCCCGAGGCUAUCCGGCCGAGGGCACGCCUGCCUG